GACGAACGCUGGCGGCGUGCUUAACACAUGCAAGUCGAACGGAAAGGCCCUGCUUUUGUGGGGUGCUCGAGUGGCGAACGGGUGAGUAACACGUGAGUAACCUGCCCUUGACUUUGGGAUAACUUCAGGAAACUGGGGCUAAUACCGGAUAGGAGCUCCUGCUGCAUGGUGGGGGUUGGAAAGUUUCGGCGGUUGGGGAUGGACUCGCGGCUUAUCAGCUUGUUGGUGGGGUAGUGGCUUACCAAGGCUUUGACGGGUAGCCGGCCUGAGAGGGUGACCGGCCACAAUGGGACUGAGGUACGGCCCCGACUCCUACGGGAGGCAGCAGGGGGGAAUAUUGCACAAUGGGCGGAAGCCUGAUGCAGCAACGCCGCGUGCGGGAUGACGGCCUUCGGGUUGGAAACCGCUUUCGCCUGUGACGAAGCGUGAGUGACGGUAAUGGGUAAAGAAGCACCGGCUAACUACGUG
rnacentral:rRNA from 1 species